AUUGUGUAGUUCCAUCCGAUUCUGCUCUAUCAAUGUUGAGAAAGUUAUAUUUAACCCCAUGUUCAUUUAUGUAGACCAACAAGAACCCCAUUUGCCAUGUUUUCAUAUGAUAUAUCACCAACCUGUGAAAUACCGAAAAAGCAACAUCACCACUAGAACCGCCGGAUAUCUUUAGGUGGCUUGAAGUUGAGGGGAUGAGUUUCUGGGGUUGCAGUUUCAUCCUCUUUCCACAUUUUAAUAGUCUUGUCUGCCUCACAUGAAACAAGCCUUGAACCAGUUAUAUCAUAUGAGAGUGCAUAAAUACCAGCUUCACUAUCCAAUGAGCCAGGCUGUACAAUUGUUUGGGCUUGCUGGAAAUUAUGACCACUCCUCCAAUCCCAGAACCACAGACUCCCAUUAUCACCUCCUGUAACCAUUACACCAUCCUCAUUGAUAGCCAUUGCAUUGAUGAUUGUUUUCUGCUGAGAGAGCAUGUUGUGCAAGAAUUCUCCCUUUGGAAGGCUGAAUUUCUUUAUGUUGUCAGCUGAUGCAGAGGCAAAGCAAUUCUCAGUAGGAUGCAGUGCCAUGGCUCGAACAGAUUUCUUGUGGUGUGUGAGUGUUAACAUAGUCUUACCAUAUCUUAGAUCCCAGAAUUUAAUGGUUGUGUCAUGGGAACCAGUGACGACUUGUGGAUCCGUUGGUCGAGUAAAAACUGAGCAUACUGUAUUAUCAUGCCCAGACAGUGCAAAAACUUGAACUUUUGUUCGAACAUCCCAGACCCGGCAAACAGAGUCACGCCCCCCAGUUAGCAAAAGGUCAAUAGUGGGAUGAAGAGCCAAGCAAUAGACACCACUUAAAUGGCCAUGAUAAGACCGGACAGCCUUGUUCUGUUCAAGGUCCCAGCAUUUCACCUGUUUGUCAUCACCAGCAGAAAACAUAUAGGUAUGUCUUUGGCUGACAGCAAGACCUCGGAUUUGUUCAAUGUGUCCAGUCAAUGUGAGCUUCAACCUUCCACUUCCUACAUCCCAUAUCUUAAUUGUGCGAUCUGCAGAACCAGUACAAAACCAUGAAUUACUUGGAUCAAAUGCGAUAGAUCUCACCCAUCCCAAAUGGCCACUUAUGACCCUGUAGUUCUUCCAUGGAGGAUGCCACACAGGACGUGGCCAUUUGCUUGGGAUCCUUUCCAUUAUAGCAGAUGUAGAGAACCUUUCAGAUGAUCCAAGACCAGAAAUCACUGCAGUGCUUUUGCCCUGUGGCCCAAGGUCAUUUGGUCCCUUCGGUUGCACAGAUGGACCAACAACCAAUGCAUUUUGAGCCGCACCCUUCUGCGAGUCCCUAGAAUCAUCAGGCCCUGGAAGAGCGAGAACAUUCGAAGGCACUGAAGAUUGAUUGCCACGAUCGGUUGUAGUAGAAAUAACUGGUCUUGGAAGUUCAUUUGAGCUUUUAAUUCCUUUGUACUCAGCAUUUAUCUUGUGGCUCAAGCGAAUAUUUUUACUUUCGGGAUCGGAAGGAGCUAGCUGGUCGUGAAUUGGAGAGAAGAGAUCGAGCGCGCGCUUUAGGGAUUUAAAACUAAGCUUCUUCACGGACUGUGGCUCCACUGGCUCCAUCUCCUGGGUAGGCCCUGGCAUUUCGUCCUUCAAUGGCCUCUGCAAGUAGCUACCAG
rnacentral:misc_RNA from 1 species